rnacentral:rRNA from 1 species
AGAGUUUGAUCAUGGCUCAGGAUGAACGCUAGCUACAGGCUUAACACAUGCAAGUCGAGGGGAAACGAUAUUGGAAGCUUGCUUCCGAUAGGCGUCGACCGGCGCACGGGUGAGUAACGCGUAUCCAACCUGCCCAUCACUUGGGAAUAACCUUGCGAAAGUAAGACUAAUGCCCAAUGACAUUUAUAGAAGGCAUCUGAAAUGAAUUAAAGAUUUAUCGGUGAUGGAUGGGGAUGCGUCUGAUUAGCUUGUUGGCGGGGUAACGGCCCACCAAGGCGACGAUCAGUAGGGGUUCUGAGAGGAAGGUCCCCCACAUUGGAACUGAGACACGGUCCAAACUCCUACGGGAGGCAGCAGUGAGGAAUAUUGGUCAAUGGGCGAGAGCCUGAACCAGCCAAGUAGCGUGCAGGAUGACGGCCCUAUGGGUUGUAAACUGCUUUUAUAGGGGAAUAAAGUGAGCCACGUGUGGUUUUUUGCAUGUACCCUAUGAAUAAGGACCGGCUAAUUCCGUGCCAGCAGCCGCGGUAAUACGGAAGGUCCGGGCGUUAUCCGGAUUUAUUGGGUUUAAAGGGAGCGUAGGCCGGAGAUUAAGCGUGUUGUGAAAUGUAGAUGCUCAACAUCUGCACUGCAGCGCGAACUGGUUUCCUUGAGUACGCAUAAAGUGGGCGGAAUUCGUGGUGUAGCGGUGAAAUGCUUAGACAUCACGAAGAACUCCGAUUGCGAAGGCAGCUCACUGGGGCGCAACUGACGCUGAAGCUCGAAAGCGCGGGUAUCGAACAGGAUUAGAUACCCUGGUAGUCCACGCCGUAAACGAUGAAUGCUAGGUGUUGGGGAGCAAAGCUCUUCGGUGCCGCCGCAAACGCAUUAAGCAUUCCACCUGGGGAGUACGUUCGCAAGAAUGAAACUCAAAGGAAUUGACGGGGACCCGCACAAGCGGUGGAGCAUGUGGUUUAAUUCGAAGCAACGCGAAGAACCUUACCAGGUCUUGACAUCCCGAUGACCGGUUCGUAAUGGAACCUUCUCUUCGGAGCAUUGGAGACAGGUGGUGCAUGGUUGUCGUCAGCUCGUGUCGUGAGAUGUUGGGUUAAGUCCCGCAACGAGCGCAACCCUUAUCCUCAGUAGCCAGCAGGUAAAGCUGGGCACUCUGUGGAGACUGCCAGGGAUAACCUGGAGGAAGGUGGGGAUGACGUCAAAUCAUCAUGCCCCUUAUGAUCUGGGCUACACACGUGCUACAAUGGCGUAAACAAAGGGAGGCAAAGCCGCGAGGUGGAGCAAAUCCCAAAAAUAACGUCUCAGUUCGGACUGCAGUCUGCAACUCGACUGCACGAAGCUGGAAUCGCUAGUAAUCGCGAAUCAGAAUGUCGCGGUGAAUACGUUCCCGGGUCUUGUACACACCGCCCGUCACACCAUGGGAGUUGGUAACGCCCGAAGUCAGUGACCCAACCUUUCAGGAGGGAGCUGCCGAAGGCGGGACUGAUAACUGGGGUGAAGUCGUAACAAGGUA